GACGAACGCUGGCGGCGUGCUUAACACAUGCAAGUCGAACGGAAAGGCCCUUCGGGGUACUCGAGUGGCGAACGGGUGAGUAACACGUGGGUGAUCUGCCCUGCACUUUGGGAUAAGCCUGGGAAACUAGGUCUAAUACCGGAUAGGACCACGGCAUUCAUGUGCUGUGGUGGAAAGCUUUUGCGGUGUGGGAUGGGCCCGCGGCCUAUCAGCUUGUUGGUGGGGUAAUGGCCUACCAAGGCGACGACGGGUAGCCGGCCUGAGAGGGUGACCGGCCACACUGGGACUGAGAUACGGCCCAGACUCCUACGGGAGGCAGCAGUGGGGAAUAUUGCACAAUGGGCGCAAGCCUGAUGCAGCGACGCCGCGUGAGGGAUGACGGCCUUCGGGUUGUAAACCUCUUUCGCCAGGGACGAAGCGCAAGUGACGGUACCUGGAGAAGAAGGACCGGCCAACUACGUG
rnacentral:rRNA from 1 species